rnacentral:rRNA from 1 species
AUUGAACGCUAGCGGGAUGCUUAACACAUGCAAGUCGAACGAGUGGCGGACGGGUGAGCAAUAUAUCGGAACGUGCCCAGUAGCGGGGGAUAACUACUCGAAAGAGUGGCUAAUACCGUACACCAUUGGAGCGGCCGAUAUUGGAUUAGCUAGUUGGUGGGGUAAAGGCUCACCAAGUCAACGAUCCGUAGCUGGUUUGAGAGGACGAUCAGCCACACUGGGACAGAGACACGGCCCAGACUCCUACGGGAGGCAGCAGUGGGGAAUUGUGGGCAAUGGGGGAAACCCUGAUCCAGCCAUGCCGCGUGUAGGAGAAGGCCUUCGGGUUGUAAAGUACUUUUAGUAGGGAAGCGGUAUCUACAGAAUAAGCACCGGCUAACUACGUGCCAGCAGCCGCGGUAAUUC